rnacentral:lncRNA from 1 species
AUGUUGCUCCAGCACACCCGCAGGCGACGCUGUUCGCUCUUUUUUUUUUCCUUCCGAUCGAUGAGGCCACUCGGGUCGCGUCGGACAGGGCCCCCGGCGGGCCGGCUCUUCCGCGCUCCCCUGUCCCGGGGGAGCCGCGGUGGUGUCCGGUGUUCAGGCACAGGCGGUCUCCUGUCCAGCUCGCUUCCCGUCGCAGGUGAGGUGCUGCCUCGCUCGGGGCGAGAGCGGCGGCGGCGGUUAGGGCGUGUGCCCUGGUCUGCGCUCCGGCCGUCGUUCUCGUCGCCGAACGAAGGGGCUUUUCCGGCCGAAGCCGGCUGUGUGACGGCCGAGCGGCCCCGCGAGCCGCAGGGGUCCGUGAGCGUUGCGCGAGGCGCUGGUGCCGGCCUCGGUCCGGGGCCCGGCGGGUGCCGGCCGCGAGCAGCAAGGCGGCGGGGGUGGCCGCAAACGAUGUGCCAAAAGCAGCGAGGGCGAGCGAGUGAGCGAGAGAGAGCCGCGCGGCGCGUCCCGCCUCCGGUGGGCUGGCUGGGUGGGGGGGCGUCCCCCCGCCGCGUCGGGGCCGCCGCAGCAGUGUGCGCGCUUUUGGUGGCCGCGUCCCCCGUCCGCUGCGGAGCGCGCCGCCCCGGUGUCGUGGGUGCCCCGGUCGCGGGGGCUCGUGCCCGCCUCGAGGUCGCGUUCUCCUCUAGCACGUCCGUCGCUCCCGCCGCGGCGGCGGGAGCCGUUCCCGGCGCGUCGCCGCCGAUCGGUCGGUCGGCCGGCCGUGGAGGGCGGGUCAGCCCCGGCCGGCCGGUGCCGCGGCGGCGGCGGCGCCGCGCGUGCCGCCGUCGGGCUCUCGCGGGUGUGUGUGGGCGAGAGAGAAAGAAAGAAGGGGCAGCGAGCGAGAGAGAGAGCGAGCCCGGCGCGCGCGCCGCCGAAAGCUGCGCAGCGGCCGCCGCUCCUUCCCCGGUCGGUCGGGGGGAGGCCGGCGGGGCCGCCGGGGUCGGGCGCUCGCGGUGGGCGCCCUUCCCCGCCGAGAGGCGCCGUGCCGGCGUCGGGCGGUGCCCCGGGGCGCGGCUACCUGGUUGA